rnacentral:rRNA from 1 species
AGCAGCCGCGGUAAUUCCAGCUCCAAUAGCGUAUAUUAAAGUUGUUGUAGUUAAAAAGCUCGUAGUUGAAUUUUGGGUUUGGCCGAUUGGUCCGUUCUUGUAACGAGUACUGGUCGGUUGGGCCUCACCGCCUGGUGAUGCGUAAUGUCCUUUAUUGGGUGUUGCGAGUAGUCAGGACCUUUACCUUGAAAAAAUUAGAGUGUUUAAAGCAGGCUUAUGCCGGAAUACAUUAGCAUGGAAUAAUAGAAUAGGACGAUGAUUCUAUUUUGUUGGUUUCUAGGAGCAUCGUAAUGAUUAAUAGGGAUAGUUGGGGGCAUUAGUAUUCAAUUGUCAGAGGUGAAAUUCUUGGAUUUAUUGAAGACUAACUACUGCGAAAGCAUUUGCCAAGGAUGUUUUCAUUAAUCAAGAACGAAAGUUAGGGGAUCGAAGACGAUCAGAUACCGUCGUAGUCUUAACCAUAAACUAUGCCGACUAGGGAUCGGGCGAUGUUGUUUCAAUGACUCGCUCGGCACCUUAUGGG